rnacentral:misc_RNA from 1 species
GAAAUGCGAUACUUGGUGUGAAUUGCAGAAUUCAGUGAAUCAUCGAAUCUUUGAACGCACCUUGCGCUCUCUGGUAUUCCGGGGAGCAUGCCUGUUUGAGAAUCGCAAAACAACACAAAUCACAUUCAUUUUUUUGAAUGUGGAGUUGAGCCUUUUUCCCUCUUUCUUGUAGAGAGGGAUGGCUUGAAAUACAGAAGGCCGGUCUGGGUAAAACCAGAUGCCAGCCUAUCGAGA